UACGUAGGGUGCAAGCGUUAAUCGGAAUUACUGGGCGUAAAGCGUGCGCAGGCGGUGAUGUAAGACAGUUGUGAAAUCCCCGGGCUCAACCUGGGAACUGCAUCUGUGACUGCAUCGCUGGAGUGCGGCAGAGGGGGAUGGAAUUCCGCGUGUAGCAGUGAAAUGCGUAGAUAUGCGGAGGAACACCGAUGGCGAAGGCAAUCCCCUGGGCCUGCACUGACGCUCAUGCACGAAAGCGUGGGGAGCAAACCGG
rnacentral:rRNA from 1 species